CCUACGGGAGGCAGCAGUGAGGAAUAUUGGUCAAUGGACGGAAGUCUGAACCAGCCAUGCCGCGUGCAGGAAGACGGCCCUAUGAGUUGUAAACUGCUUUUGUACAAGGGUAAACCUGAAUACGUGUAUUCAGCUGAAAGUACUGUACGAAUAAGGAUCGGCUAACUCCGUGCCAGCAGCCGCGGUAAUACGGAGGAUCCAAGCGUUAUCCGGAUUUAUUGGGUUUAAAGGGUGCGUAGGCGGAUUGAUAAGUUAGAGGUGAAAUGUCCGAGCUUAACUCGGGAACUGCCUCUAAUACUGUUGGUCUAGAGAGUAGAUGCGGUAGGCGGAAUGUAUGGUGUAGCGGUGAAAUGCUUAGAGAUCAUACAGAACACCGAUUGCGAAGGCAGCUUACCAAUCUAUAUCUGACGUUGAGGCACGAAAGCGUGGGGAGCAAACAGGAUUAGAUACCCGAGUAGUC
rnacentral:rRNA from 1 species